AAAACUGCCCCUUUAUACUUGUAAUAGUUGGCCAAGUGUCAUGUUUGUAUGCUGCCAUGUGUCCUUAGGUAGUUUUGUGUGAAAACUACCUUUUCCUUGUAUUUAUUUGGCUAUGAGUGCACAAAUCCGAGGGAUCUAGUAUCAUCUAGCAUAUGAGAGUUCAGAUUGCAAUUGUUGGGCAAUUCUGAGUGAGGAUUUUGUGUGUGCACCUUAGUCUCCUUUGUAUUCGUUGUGGG
rnacentral:lncRNA from 1 species